rnacentral:rRNA from 1 species
CAGCCGCCGCGGUAAUACGUAGGGUGCAAGCGUUACUCGGACUUACUGGGCGUAAAGCGUGCGCAGGCGGUUCGGAAAGAAAGAUGUGAAAUCCCAGAGCUUAACUUUGGAACUGCAUUUUUAACUACCGGGCUAGAGUGUGUCAGAGGGAGGUGGAAUUCCGCGUGUAGCAGUGAAAUGCGUAGAUAUGCGGAGGAACACCGAUGGCGAAGGCAGCCUCCUGGGAUAACACUGACGCUCAUGCACGAAAGCGUGGGGAGCAAACAGGAUUAGAUACCCUGGUAGUCCACGCCCUAAACGAUGUCAACUAGCUGUUGGGGCCUUCGGGCCUUGGUAGCGCAGCUAACGCGUGAAGUUGACCGCCUGGGGAGUACGGUCGCAAGAUUAAAACUUAAAGGAAUUGGCGGG